UUUGCUGUUGGUGGGGGCAGGGAGCAUGGUACAGGGGUGACUGAGUUCCUGCUUUGUUAGUUCCCACUGAAACUGAUUGACAAAAAGGGCCUGGCACCUCUCUCUUCUCUCUCUUUCUCUCUCUCACCAUGUGAUCUAUGCAUGCCUGUUCCCGUCUGCUUGCACUAAGAAUGGAAACAGCCUAAGUUCCUCACCAGAAGCAGAGGCUGGCACCAUGUUUGUUAUGCAGCCUGCAGAACCGCUGGGGACAGCUCUCUGAAAAUAGGAAUAAAUAGUGGCUCCUCGAUAAACACCUUCUUGCCUACAGCAUGUGUGACUGCAAACACAUUCCCACUUCAACUAAUCCAAGACGAGAAGGAUGACAAAAUAAGAGAAAUCAUGGGAAAAACUGCCCAUUUCUGUUUUGUCCACUUUGCUUUGGGAAGUGAGAGCUAUAGUCAUUAUCACCACAUCCCCUGGCAUCCAAUUCCGACAAUGAUCUCUGACCUUGCCACUAAGAGUAAAAAAAUGUGCUGAACACCUUUACUGGGAUACUAGUCACUGAUUAAUAAUUCAAUUCCAGCUUUCCUGGAAGCCAGAAGUCAAAAUAUACUUGGGAUUUCUAUAAAUAUUUUUUAAUUAUGACCAUCGAACUCCAAGUACUUCAGAUUUGGAACUCGGACUGCUUUCCUUGCUCCUCAGCCUGCAGAUGGCCUAUUGUGGGACCUUGUGAUUAUGUAGUGAGACGAGCAUGAGUGGAGCAGGAGACGGCUGUCCCCCACCCACAAGGAAUAUCAGAUGAUGGUUCAGCGAUCAUCACAUUGCCUCUCUGAAAGUGAUAAAUUGGCAGCUGGCACCAGGGAGAGGCUAUUUCCUGAUGGCCCACACCUGUUGCACUAAGAUGUUAAUCGAAUGCAGAUUCCAGGGAGAAACAACUUCCUGGGCAUGUGCGUAAGAGACAAAAUGGCAGGUAUGACCUUCUGGGGACACUCCACCAGAAAAGGGAAGAAAACCUCAGAUGGGCAUGCAUAUAACUUCCUAAACACACUGCUCACACUCUCCUCCCAAGGGUAAGGAGGGCACUGCACAUGCAGGCAGCCCAUCCUAAGGGAAGCAUCCUGGGAAAGGGGUCAGUCUAUAUGGUUCUGGGAUCAAGAUUAAACACCACAUUAGACCUUCAAGUUGCCCACUUGGGUCUCUUCUAUGUGUAUUUUUCUUUCCUUUCUUUUCUGCUCUAAAGCUUUUUUAAAUAAACAUACACAUCCCUCCUCUGAAACUUGCCUUGGUCUCUUUUUCUGCCAUAUGCAACUCAGUCAAAUUAUUUCUUCUGAGGAGGAAAAAAUUGAGGUAGCUGCAUUCCCAUACAGAUUCACCAUCGGUAACUCAGAUACCUUCUACUGGCCAUAUGUUUGGUGUUCUAUUCAAGAAAUAAUUGCUAAAGCCAAUGUCUUAAAGUGUUUUUCUUAUGUUUUUCUUCUAAGAGUUUUACAGUUUCAGGUCUUACACUUAAGUAUUUAAUUAAUUUGAGUUGAUUUUAUGCAUGGUGUAGGAUGUGUGUAAUAUUCAGUUUUUCUAACACUAUUUGUUGAAGAGACUAUUCUUUUUCCACUGUGUAUCCUUAGAAGCAUUGCUGAAGUGUUGUUG
rnacentral:lncRNA from 10 species